AAACGAGGGGCCCUUCUCAGAGUAACUGCAGCGAUUUGUGUGCACUGAGCUGUGCAGAAGAAUGUCACUGAUUUAUAAAUGUCAAAUAGCCACCAAGCAGCCCACACAAGAACCUCAGUGAAUUCCUACCUCUGACCCGCUCCUCGGCUCCCGCAGCCGCACAGGCUGGUUUAGCCCCGCACUGUAAGAGUCUCACACAGGCGACAGCUGAUCGGCAAAUGUCAGAGGGGACCAAAGGUCAAAAUUUCCAUAAAUUAGGCCCUGGCUUGGCACCUAUCACGUAAUGGGAUUCUCUAGCCAGUUAAUGCUGUGAACUGCAGUCAUUCAACCCAACGGUUCCCCUGCAGCCCUGUUCCCCGGCCCAUCUCCUGAAGUGGUGAGAUGGUAGCUGCAAGAGGAAGGAGUGUCUUCAGAGCUGCUUUCCUGCAAAAAGGAGAAGGACAAAGGACGUGGACGCUAGACGAGGCCUCAGUCCUGAAAUGGCUGCAGAACUGUGCUUUGCUGGGAGCUGCAGAAGCUUGGUGUUGCCCAGGACCAGAGAGACCUGCUGUGUGCCAGACAGGUGAUGUUGGCGAUGCUGCACAUGGGGUCAGCAGCACUUCUCAGGUUGAAACUGCAUAGCCAGAGGAGUACGGUCCCUUCGGGUAUUCAGCUUUCAGAAAGACCAAGGUAAGAGAUUUUCCAGAUUUUUUUUUUCUUUUUUCCAUUUUGAAUUCUUGAUAAAAUGCUGUCUGUUCCAGUCUUUGCUCAGAGCUCAUUUCAAGUCAAUAUAAAGAUUCUUGUUGAUUUUAAUGAGCAGUGCCUUGAAC
rnacentral:lncRNA from 1 species